rnacentral:rRNA from 1 species
UACGUAGGGUGCAAGCGUUGUCCGGAAUUAUUGGGCGUAAAGAGCUCGUAGGCGGUCUGUCGCGUCUGCUGUGAAAACUCGGGGCUUAACCCCGAGCCUGCAGUCGAUACGGGCAGACUAGAGUGUUGCAGGGGAGACUGGAAUUCCUGGUGUAGCGGUGAAAUGCGCAGAUAUCAGGAGGAACACCGGUGGCGAAGGCGGGUCUCUGGGCCGAUAUUGACGUUGAGGAGCGAAAGCGUGGGGAGCGAACAGG